UACGGGGGGGGCAAGCGUUGUUCGGAAUUACUGGGCGUAAAGGGUUCGUAGGUGGCCGACUAAGUCAGACGUGAAAUCCCCAGGCUCAACCUGGGAACUGCGUCCGAUACUGGAUGGCUUGAAUCCGGGAGAGGGAUGCAGAAUUCCAGGUGUAGCGGUGAAAUGCGUAGAUAUCUGGAGGAACACCGGUGGCGAAGGCGGCAUCCUGGACCAACACUGACGCUGAGGAGCGAAAGCCAGGGGAGCAAACGGG
rnacentral:rRNA from 1 species